UACGAAGGGUGCAAGCGUUACUCGGAAUUACUGGGCGUAAAGCGUGCGUAGGUGGUUUGUUAAGUCUGUUGUGAAAGCCCCGGGCUCAACCUGGGGGCUGCGUUUGAUACGUGCGGACUUGAGUGCGGAAGAGGGUCGUGGAAUUCCCAGUGUAGAGGUGAAAUUCGUAGAUAUUGGGAAGAACACCGGUGGCGAAGGCGGCGACCUGGUCCGAUACUGACGCUGAGGCGCGAAAGCGUGGGGAGCAAACAGG
rnacentral:rRNA from 1 species